rnacentral:lncRNA from 1 species
UCACCUGGAGCACGUCCCUUUUGGGUAAUACACUCACGUGUUCAAAAUUCAAAGCGUUAAAAAUAAACAACCUUUCCUGUUCAAUAUGUAAACAAACAACCUCAUGCUCCCGACAGAAAAGCAGCAAGGACAUGAAAAGGCAAUUUGUGGAAAAAAAUGUGUUAAGAAUGUCACCCUUAGUGUUAUAAAAACUCUUCCGCUGAGACCUGCUUGCCUGUCAUUUUGAGAUGUUUUUGAUGCACAGAAGUUUCAACUUUACUAAGCCGUAUUUUUCCCUGAAUGAUCUCUUCGCUGCCUGGAAAGCCAUUGCUCAUCCUGAGACGGAGCCGAGGACUGGUGUAGCUACCUGAGGGUGCAGCUCUGGGAUGCCAGUUGGCCUCAGUCCCCAGCCCCUGCUCUGAACCAUCUGGCAGUUAUUCAUGGCAGGACAAGCAGGCCAAGGGGCACCAGCCUCUGGAAGUGGACCGUCCUUCUGGAGAAGAGGGCCUGGAGACCCACCCUGAGGGAGUGGGUGUUACCCCAAGCGACAGAGUGGGAGACCAAGGGAGACCUUGAGUGUGAACACAGCCAGUCUAGCCUGCUGCCUCUCCCUCUCCGGGUGCCCAUGGAAGCGGGAGU